rnacentral:rRNA from 1 species
GGUUAAGUUAGAAAGGGCGCACGGUGGAUGCCUUGGCACUAGGAGCCGAUGAAGGACGGGACGAACACCGAUAUGCUUCGGGGAGCUGUAAGCAAGCUUUGAUCCGGAGAUUUCCGAAUGGGGAAACCCACCACUCGUAAUGGAGUGGUAUCCAUAUCUGAAUUCAUAGGAUAUGAGAAGGCAGACCCGGGGAACUGAAACAUCUAAGUACCCGGAGGAAGAGAAAGCAAAUGCGAUUCCCUGAGUAGCGGCGAGCGAAACGGGAUUAGCCCAAACCAAGAGGCUUGCCUCUUGGGGUUGUAGGACACUCUGUACGGAGUUACAAAAGAACGAGGUAGAUGAAGAGGUCUGGAAAGGCCCGCCAUAGGAGGUAACAGCCCUGUAGUCAAAACUUCGUUCUCUCCUGAGUGGAUCCUGAGUACGGCGGAACACGUGAAAUUCCGUCGGAAUCCGGGAGGACCAUCUCCCAAGGCUAAAUACUCCCUAGUGACCGAUAGUGAACCAGUACCGUGAGGGAAAGGUGAAAAGCACCCCGGAAGGGGAGUGAAAGAGAUCCUGAAACCGUGUGCCUACAAGUAGUCAGAGCCCGUUAANNNNNNNAUGAGUACGUGGUCGUAGACCCGAAACCAGGUGAUCUACCCAUGUCCAGGGUGAAGUUCAGGUAACACUGAAUGGAGGCCCGAACCCACGCACGUUGAAAAGUGCGGGGAUGAGGUGUGGGUAGGGGUGAAAUGCCAAUCGAACCUGGAGAUAGCUGGUUCUCUCCGAAAUAGCUUUAGGGCUAGCCUCAAGGUAAGAGUCUUGGAGGUAGAGCACUGAUUGGACUAGGGGCCCCUACCGGGUUACCGAAUUCAGUCAAACUCCGAAUGCCAAUGACUUAUCCUUGGGAGUCAGACUGCGAGUGAUAAGAUCCGUAGUCGAAAGGGAAACAGCCCAGACCGCCAGCUAAGGUCCCAAAGUAUACGUUAAGUGGAAAAGGAUGUGGAGUUGCUUAGACAACCAGGAUGUUGGCUUAGAAGCAGCCACCAUUUAAAGAGUGCGUAAUAGCUCACUGGUCGAGUGACUCUGCGCCGAAAAUGUACCGGGGCUAAACGUAUCACCGAAGCUGCGGACUGUUCUUCGAACAGUGGUAGGAGAGCGUUCUAAGGGCUGUGAAGCCAGACCGGAAGGACUGGUGGAGCGCUUAGAAGUGAGAAUGCCGGUAUGAGUAGCGAAAGAGGGGUGAGAAUCCCCUCCACCGAAUGCCUAAGGUUUCCUGAGGAAGGCUCGUCCGCUCAGGGUUAGUCGGGACCUAAGCCGAGGCCGAAAGGCGUAGGCGAUGGACAACAGGUUGAUAUUCCUGUACCACCUCCUCACCAUUUGAGCAAUGGGGGGACGCAGGAGGAUAGGGUAAGCGCGGUAUUGGAUAUCCGCGUCCAAGCAGUUAGGCUGGGAAAUAGGCAAAUCCGUUUCCCAUAAGGCUGAGCUGUGAUGGCGAGCGAAAUAUAGUAGCGAAGUUCCUGAUUCCACACUGCCAAGAAAAGCCUCUAGCGAGGUGAGAGGUGCCCGUACCGCAAACCGACACAGGUAGGCGAGGAGAGAAUCCUAAGGUGAUCGAGAGAACUCUCGUUAAGGAACUCGGCAAAAUGACCCCGUAACUUCGGGAGAAGGGGUGCUCUGUUAGGGUGCAAGCCCGAGAGAGCCGCAGUGAAUAGGCCCAGGCGACUGUUUAGCAAAAACACAGGUCUCUGCGAAGCCGUAAGGCGAAGUAUAGGGGCUGACGCCUGCCCGGUGCUGGAAGGUUAAGAGGAGCGCUUAGCGUAAGCGAAGGUGCGAAUUGAAGCCCCAGUAAACGGCGGCCGUAACUAUAACGGUCCUAAGGUAGCGAAAUUCCUUGUCGGGUAAGUUCCGACCCGCACGAAAGGCGCAACGAUCUGGGCACUGUCUCAACGAGAGACUCGGUGAAAUUAUAGUACCUGUGAAGAUGCAGGUUACCCGCGACAGGACGGAAAGACCCCGUGGAGCUUUACUGCAGCCUGAUAUUGAAUGUUGGUACAGCUUGUACAGGAUAGGUAGGAGCCUUGGAAACCGGAGCGCCAGCUUCGGUGGAGGCAUCGGUGGGAUACUACCCUGGCUGUAUUGACCUUCUAACCCGCCGCCCUUAUCGGGCGGGGAGACAGUGUCAGGUGGGCAGUUUGACUGGGGCGGUCGCCUCCUAAAAGGUAACGGAGGCGCCCAAAGGUUCCCUCAGAAUGGUUGGAAAUCAUUCGCAGAGUGUAAAGGCACAAGGGAGCUUGACUGCGAGACCUACAAGUCGAGCAGGGACGAAAGUCGGGCUUAGUGAUCCGGUGGUUCCGCAUGGAAGGGCCAUCGCUCAACGGAUAAAAGCUACCCCGGGGAUAACAGGCUUAUCUCCCCCAAGAGUCCACAUCGACGGGGAGGUUUGGCACCUCGAUGUCGGCUCAUCGCAUCCUGGGGCUGUAGUCGGUCCCAAGGGUUGGGCUGUUCGCCCAUUAAAGCGGUACGCGAGCUGGGUUCAGAACGUCGUGAGACAGUUCGGUCCCUAUCCGUCGCGGGCGCAGGAAAUUUGAGAGGAGCUGUCCUUAGUACGAGAGGACCGGGAUGGACGCACCGCUGGUGUACCAGUUGUUCUGCCAAGGGCAUCGCUGGGUAGCUAUGUGCGGACGGGAUAAGUGCUGAAAGCAUCUAAGCAUGAAGCCCCCCUCAAGAUGAGAUUUCCCAUUCCGCAAGGAAGUAAGAUCCCUGAAAGAUGAUCAGGUUGAUAGGUCUGAGGUGGAAGUGUGGCGACACAUGGAGCUGACAGAUACUAAUCGAUCGAGGACUUAACCAC